UGCAUGUGGAUGCCUAACAUUCACACACACGUUGCCAGGCUUCUAAUUACCAUGUACUAAAUUUUCUUCUGCAAAAGAUGAAGUCAUCUAUUUUGGACAGUUUGGGAGCAAACUUUGAACACUGUGCGAUCUUUGUCGCUCACAUCCACAAUUCUCACCACUUGUUGUGAAAUAUACUACAUGAAGUUAAAGAUAGUUUACGUCCAGAGGUUUAAAAGGGUGCAGCCUCCACACGUCUACAAGAAUGGGCGACCUUGAAGUAUAUUCAAGUUGCCGAGAAAGAGAAUAAAU